rfam:Peptostreptococcus stomatis DSM 17678 contig00011, whole genome shotgun sequence.
AAAUAGGAUAGAGGCGCAACUGACAAGAGUAGGAAUAGGCAAUGAAAGCAAGCAGUCUACUUCGAAAGGGGAUGUUGCCGAAAUAAUACUUGUAGUGCUUUGCAAGUAUUGUUGGAACAGGGAUUAAUAGUUUUUGUUCUGUCAUUAUACAAGUAUAAUGGAGGGCUAGCCAGGAG